UGCUUAUAUCUGAACUAGCAGCGUUUAAAACAAUGGCCAGUACAGCUAUGUUAGAUAGAUAGCGAGCUGGCAAUGCUGAAAGGCAACAGUGUUUUCUGCUAACUAGGCAGUUAGUGUAUAAAAAAGCUUUAUUUAUUUUUAUUUAUUAAACUUUCCCAUUUCAAAUAAAAAUGGCUCAGUGGCUACUAGCUAACAUUAGCUAGCUAGACCACUGGUGGUGGGACUGACAAGCCCACUACCUUUACAACAAGGAGGACAUCGGGACAUACCCUUAGGAUCUACGUGAAGGAGUAUGAGCUGGAGGGGCAGCUGUCACCUGCAUGGGUGAAAAAGAAGUGGGAGAGCCUGAAGCAAAAAAUACACGGAUUUGAAAGCUCCUCCCCACCGGAGUCAGCACGGAGGGAGGGAAGGCCACAGCUGCAUCCUAGAAGUGGUAUACGGUGAUGGAUGAGGCGCUGCAGGGGCUGCCACUCCAUCAUCCCACUGGUUAUCAUCUCCUCAUCCUCCCAAGGUGCAGCUGUGGGCUCCUCUCCCUCCCAGAAGGGUCCAGAUUUGAAGUCGCAAGAAAGAGAUGACUGCCAGGGAGGCACGUCUUAUGGCCAUUUUAGAGGCCAUGAUUAAUAAGUAGGUGUAGUAUGUAUUUUGGAUGUAUUUUAUUUAUAGUUACUAAUUUAUAAAUGUUCUACUCUUCUUGGUGAAGUCCUUCUUUUUUUAAACACAAAGUGGAUUUCGGUUCUCUCAUUGAAAAGUAUUUCUUGUUUGUCAUAAACAUUUUUAUUUGAUAGCAGUUGAAAGAAAAAAGGAACCCGCACACUGCUUUUUAUUGAAGCUUACAUGUCUGUCUCUUGGCCUAAGUCAGAGCUUUUUGCUCUACUAAACUAAAUAAA